rnacentral:rRNA from 1 species
UACGUAGGGUGCGAGCGUUGUCCGGAAUUAUUGGGCGUAAAGAGCUCGUAGGCGGUGUGUCACGUCGGCCGUGAAAACCUGCAGCUUAACUGUGGGCGUGCGGUCUAUACGGGCAUCACUGGAGUUCGGCAGGGGAGACUGGAAUUCCUGGUGUAGCGGUGAAAUGCGCAGAUAUCAGGAGGAACACCGGUGGCGAAGGCGGGUCUCUGGGCCGAUACUGACGCUGAGGAGCGAAAGCGUGGGGAGCAAACAGG